GAGUUUGAUCAUGGCUCAGGAUGAACGCUGGCGGCGUGCCUAAUACAUGCAAGUCGAACGAACAGAUAAGGAGCUUGCUCCUUUGACGUUAGCGGCGGACGGGUGAGUAACACGUGGGGUAACCUACCUAUAAGACUGGGAAUAACUCCGGGAAACCGGGGCUAAUGCCGGAUAACAUGUUGAACCGCAUGGUUCUACAGUGAAAGACGGUCUUGCUGUCACUUAUAGAUGGACCCGCGCCGUAUUAGCUAGUUGGUGGGUAACGGCCUACCAAGGCGACGAUACGUAGCCGACCUGAGAGGGUGAUCGGCCACACUGGAACUGAGACACGGUCCAGACUCCUACGGGAGGCAGCAGUAGGGAAUCUUCCGCAAUGGGCGAAAGCCUGACGGAGCGACGCCGCGUGAGUGAUGAAGGUCUUCGGAUCGUAAAGCUCUGUUGUUAGGGAAGACAAAUGUGUAAGUAACUGUGCAUAUCUUGACGGUACCUAACCAGAAAGCCACGGCUAACUACGUGCCAGCCGCCGCCGU
rnacentral:rRNA from 1 species